rnacentral:rRNA from 1 species
UACGGAGGGGGCAAGCGUUAUUCGGAAUUAUUGGGCGUAAAGGGCGCGUAGGCGGCUAGAUGUGUCAAAGGUGAAAUCCCUCGGCUCAACUGAGAAACUGCCUUUGAAACUGUCUGGCUUGAGGCCGGGAGAGGGUAGCGGAAUUCCCAGUGUAGCGGUGAAAUUCGUAGAUAUCGGGAGGAACACCGGUGGCGAAGGCGGCGACCUGGGUCGAGACUGACGCUGAGGCGCGAAAGCGUGGGGAGCAAACAGG